rnacentral:rRNA from 1 species
AUUGAACGCUGGCGGCAGGCCUAACACAUGCAAGUCGAACGGCAGCACAGAAGAGCUUGCUCUUUGGGUGGCGAGUGGCGGACGGGUGAGUAAUGUCUGGGAAGCUGCCCGAUGGAGGGGGAUAACUACUGGAAACGGUAGCUAAUACCGCAUAACGUCGCAAGACCAAAGUGGGGGACCUUCGGGCCUCACACCAUCGGAUGUGCCCAGAUGGGAUUAGCUAGUAGGUGGGGUAAUGGCUCACCUAGGCGACGAUCCCUAGCUGGUCUGAGAGGAUGACCAGCCACACUGGAACUGAGACACGGUCCAGACUCCUACGGGAGGCAGCAGUGGGGAAUAUUGCACAAUGGGCGCAAGCCUGAUGCAGCCAUGCCGCGUGUAUGAAGAAGGCCUUCGGGUUGUAAAGUACUUUCAGCGGGGAGGAAGGCGGUGAGGUUAAUAACCUUGCCGAUUGACGUUACCCGCAGAAGAAGCACCGGCUAACUCCGUGCCAGCAGCCGCCGCCG